GACAGAGGGUGCAAACGUUGUUCGGAAUUACUGGGCGUAAAGCGCGUGUAGGCGGCAGGGCAAGUCGGAUGUGAAAGCCCACGGCUCAACCGUGGAAGUGCACUCGAAACUGCGCAGCUAGAGUCCUGGAGAGGAAGGUGGAAUGCUUGGUGUAGAGGUGAAAUUCGUAGAUAUCAAGCGGAACACCGGUGGCGAAGGCGGCCUUCUGGACAGUGACUGACGCUGAGGUGCGAAAGCGUGGGGAGCAAACAGG
rnacentral:rRNA from 1 species